GAAGAACGUACGGGACGAGAGAGCAGGAAGCAGGAAGCGAAAAGCGAUUCGAACAAAAGCAGUCGGUAUUUAUUAAAUAUUAUUCGGUAUUAAAAAAAUACACACUUGUAAUUUUAGGAAAUGUUUAGUAACACAACUGUAAACCUAAAAUACGGCCAUAACCCACAAAACUGGUAAAUAAGUUUGUUUUGAAGUGCGUCAGCCUCGGAGCUUUGAGCUAAAAGUGUGGCUAAUGUCCUGCAGCUAACACGAUGUAAAAAGUCUGCUCAAACUUUCAUGUUUGCCACCGAGUGGUUUUUAUGAAGCUACGACGAGGAAACGAGCACGUUUUCACGGACAUUGUACAUCGUAACUUUUAAAGCCAAGGUUCCAUGAUCCAGCAGUUUCUCCGACGAACCAGCCAAAGGAGGGACCUCGGGCAAUCAAACGAUGGACCAAUAAUUGGAGAGUGAAAACUCUGGGAACCGAGGGGUGUAUCUGCAAACAAGUGUGUAAAUUCAGAAUGAUUAUGUGAUUUAUAAAGCCGGUGCAGACAACAGGUGGGUAAAAAGGAGAGGACGUGUCCUGUUUCUCUGUGAACAAGGAAUGCCUUGGUGAGAUUCAGUUGUCUUUGAUUGUCAAUAAUUUCUUCCAUAUACAAAUGUCUGGGUGGUCUCUCACCCUUAAGACAAAUGUCUCUUAAUGAGCCCAUUACAUUUAUUAGCACUCUCUGCAUUUGACAGACAGUCUGCGUGUCAGCAGGUCUGCUGACACUGAAGGUACUAAUCCAGUUUUCCAGCGUGUCCCAUUCGCAGUUCAGAGUUGUGGCAAUAUGCAUUGAGAUAUUUUUACCGUUUCCGACAUCUUCUAAAAGGAGACAGUCGGGCAUAGGCCACGUUACCUGUGCUGUUGGCUUGGAUAAAAUUCUCGUGAGCACUGACAAAAGUGUGUCUUCAAUUUCCAUUUUUGAAAUCAAGAAAUUUAUCUUGAAUGUAGUCAUCUGACCUUUGGUGAACACUUUCAUUCUACAAGCUGUAUCAAAAACAUGAUGCUGUAUUAGGAGUGCGCUACAUGGCGAACAGACCUCCUGACAUAAAAAGUGUUUAGUUAGACACUUGUGCAAAGGUAGAAAGUGUCUUUGACUGAAAGGCCGGAAUCUUGGAUUCCAUGCGGAAUGUCCUAUGUGCAACUGUAUAUACCAGGGCACAGAUAUUUUCAGAUAUCUGAAACUUAUAGCACUCUGAUAAUUCCACCAUAGCUUCAAAUAUCUAGUACAGUCAAGUGGAUCUAAUGUGGACUCAUCAUUUCUUAAUUGUGUGCUCACAAAGUUUGCAAUUUGGAAUUGCUCAGUCUCAUUUUCAAAAAAUGUGUAAUGUUUGCUUCGCACAAGAUCUAGGAAUAGCAUUAUAAAAAACUGCUGAUGCAUAACUGCCAGAUGUUGUAAUCGCUUAAAGUCAGACUCUUCUUCCUCGGUUGUUUCAGUGGUGUGUGAAACAUCAGAAGACAGGACAAACACUCGAUUUUGUGUUGACACUGUGAUACCUUUGCAUAGAUUACAAUAGUGUGACACACUCUGUGGAAAGAAAGAACUCAGCCCAAUGGGCCCCAGCAAGUUGUCAGGAUGGUAGUAGAAGUCAUUGUGUUUUCUUGGUACGAUUGUCGACUGAACUGAACCUCCCAGCUGGAAGUCUGACAGAUAGUUUAUGAUUUCAUAUGUUGAGGAAAACAUGUCACCGCAGUGGUCCAGGGCGCCGGCGUGCAAGGCUGCAGCACAUCGCUUCCAUUUACAUAGAACACUGGACUCCUCCAUAUUAGACCUAGAAAAACAGAAAGAGACAAACAUGAGGAAACUCUGUUUCCCUACUCCUCUUACACAUUACAUAAAAAAAUGGAUAAUUAUAAAACUCAUACACACACACACACACACACACACAAUAUAAUC